GACAGAGGUGGCAAGCGUUGCUCGGAAUCAUUGGGCUUAAAGAGCACGUAGGCGGCCCGUCAAGUGUCUUGUGAAAUCCCUCGGCUCAACCGAGGAAUUGCUGGGCAUACUGUCGGGCUUGAGGUAGGUAUGGGCGAGUGGAACUCUUGGUGGAGCGGUGGAAUGCGUAGAUAUCAAGAGGAACGCCGGUGGUGAAGACGAUUCGCUGGGCCUAUCCUGACGCUGAGGUGCGAAAGCCAGGGGAGCAAACGGG
rnacentral:rRNA from 1 species